ACUUGAAAAACGUAACAUGUAAAAAGAGUAUUUGUGCUUUCCUUUAGCCAAAUGCUAAGUUUCUUUGCCGUUCUAUUUAGUUUAGGUUGCAUGUUUAGAAUAAUUCAA